UCUCCGUUGGUGAACCAGCGGAGGGAUCAUUACCGAGUGCGAACUCAUAACCCUUUGUGAACCUAUAUCUGUUGCUUCGGCGGCUCGCUCUCGGGCGAGCCCGCCGGUAAUAUCAGUAUCUCUGUUUGAACCCGACGAUACUUCUGAGUGUUCUUAGCGAACAGUUAAAACUUUUAACAACGGAUCUCUUGGCUCUA
rnacentral:misc_RNA from 1 species